UACGAAGGGCGCAAGCGUUACUCGGAAUUACUGGGCGUAAAGCGUGCGUAGGUGGUUUGUUAAGUCUGUUGUGAAAGCCCCGGGCUCAACCUGGGAAUGGCAUUGGAUACUGGCAAGCUAGAGUGCGGUAGAGGGUAGUGGAAUUCCCGGUGUAGCGGUGAAAUGCGUAGAGAUCGGGAGGAACACCAGUGGCGAAGGCGGCUACCUGGACCAGCACUGACACUGAGGCACGAAAGCGUGGGGAGCAAACAGG
rnacentral:rRNA from 1 species